AGCGAACGCUGGCGGUAGGCCUAACACAUGCAAGUCGAACGGCAGCACAGGAGAGCUUGCUCUCUGGGUGGCGAGUGGCGGACGGGUGAGGAAUACAUCGGAAUCUACCUUUUCGUGGGGGAUAACGCAGGGAAACUUACGCUAAUACCGCAUACGACCUACGGGUGAAAGUGGGGGACCGCAAGGCCUCACGCGAUUAGAUGAGCCGAUGUCCGAUUAGCUAGUUGGCGGGGUAAUGGCCCACCAAGGCGACGAUCGGUAGCUGGUCUGAGAGGAUGAUCAGCCACACUGGAACUGAGACACGGUCCAGACUCCUACGGGAGGCAGCAGUGGGGAAUAUUGGACAAUGGGCGCAAGCCUGAUCCAGCCAUACCGCGUGGGUGAAGAAGGCCUUCGGGUUGUAAAGCCCUUUUGUUGGGAAAGAAAUCCUGUCGAUUAAUACUCGGUGGGGAUGACGGUACCCAAAGAAUAAGCACCGGCUAACUUCGUGCCAGCCGCCGCGGUAAUAC
rnacentral:rRNA from 1 species